GACAUGAUGAUGGCACUGGUUAUUUUACCAAGGCUUUGGCUGGAACAGCAUUUCCAGAGGUGUCCAGACUGCAUUAAGGAAUUAUAAGGCCAAUAAAAAAAGCCCUUUAGAAAACUGGCCAGAUACCCAUCAGUAGCAUUUCCUUAUCUGUGGCUGCUGCAUAGACUUAGCCUGAGUUGCAGAUGUGUGAUCAAUUUAUUAUGCUGUCUCCAAAUGUGGCCAAGGCACAAUUUGUUAAGAAUUCCUUAAGACGACUGUUCUCAAAGUAUAGUUUCCAACCAGCAUCAUUACCAUCACCAGGAAUCUUGUUAGUUUUUGGCUGGGGCCAGGUUUGAACCCACCACCUCUGGUAUAUGGGACCAGCACCCUACUCAUUUGAGCCACAGGCACUGCCUAAUAAGCCUUUCCUCUUUCAAACAUGGUGUUUGGGUGCUCUUUCUCUCCAUUGGGCCUCAUCUUCCUGCAACAUCAAGGUGAGAGCAUUCAAGGGGGAGGAAGAGAACUUUGGUUUUUUUGGUCCCUAGGAAGAAGGGCGUAGCCGGGAUUCCUAACAUUAAUGGAGUUGCCGAGGUACCUUCCCCAGUCCCUGUCUGCUCUUUCCAAAAGAUACUUCUGAUGUGAUUUGGAGACCUGAAGUUUUGGUUAUGAGUCCUAUGCCCACUGGCAAAUCUUCCCUUUUAAACAUGCUCAUACAUACACAGAAAUACAUAACCGCACAUCCAGUCCUUUUCCUUUAGUAUCAGUCCUGACAUGAGCUCUGUGAUGUUUAUAAUACCACCUUAACAGUGCUACAAAACUACAUGGAAA